AAGACUCUAUUCGUAUCCACACCGAGACCGAUCCUUGCUAUCAACUUGUUGAUCAAUGAAACCCGCGAACAAAUUGAACGAAGAAUAUUGUGUUGAAAUUUUUCUCAAUAAUCUCAACUCAAAUUAGAAGAACAAGAAACACUUUUCUUGCAAUUGUAUUUCUCUCUUGGCUUUGUAUUGCACCCUCACUUUCACAAAGUAGGGUUUCUUCUCAAGAAAAAUUAUUAUGGCAAAUUUUCUCUAUCACCCUUUAUAUAGAAUCACCUACAAACCUUUUCCUAUUUGGUUGAGGUAAUAAUUUU
rnacentral:lncRNA from 1 species